rnacentral:rRNA from 1 species
UGGGGAAUAUUGCACAAUGGGCGCAAGCCUGAUGCAGCGACGCCGCGUGAGGGAUGACGGCCUUCGGGUUGUAAACCUCUUUCAGCAGGGACGAAGCGCAAGUGACGGUACCUGCAGAAGAAGCACCGGCCAACUACGUGCCAGCAGCCGCGGUAAUACGUAGGGUGCGAGCGUUGUCCGGAAUUACUGGGCGUAAAGAGCUCGUAGGCGGUUUGUCGCGUCGUCUGUGAAUUCUGCAGCUUAACUGCAGGCGUGCAGGCGAUACGGGCAGACUUGAGUACUACAGGGGAGACUGGAAUUCCUGGUGUAGCGGUGAAAUGCGCAGAUAUCAGGAGGAACACCGGUGGCGAAGGCGGGUCUCUGGGUAGUAACUGACGCUGAGGAGCGAAAGCGUGGGUAGCGAACAGGAUUAGAUACCCUGGUAGUCCACGCCGUAAACGGUGGGUACUAGGUGUGGGUUCCAUUUCACGGGAUCCGUGCCGUAGCUAACGCAUUAAGUACCCGCCUGGGAGUACGGCGCAAGGCUAAACUUAAAGGAAUUGACGGGGUCAUAGCUGUUUCCU